CGGGAGACACACGGCGGGUGCUAACGUCCGUCGUGAAGAGGGAAACAACCCAGACCGCCAGCUAAGGUCCCAAAGUCAUGGUUAAGUGGGAAACGAUGUGGGAAGGCCCAGACAGCCAGGAUGUUGGCUUAGAAGCAGCCAUCAUUUAAAGAAAGCGUAAUAGCUCACUGGUCGAGUCGGCCUGCGCGGAAGAUGUAACGGGGCUAAACCAUGCACCGAAGCUGCGGCAGCGACACUCAGGUGUUGUUGGGUAGGGGAGCGUUCUGUAAGCCUGUGAAGGUGGCCUGUGAGGGUUGCUGGAGGUAUCAGAAGUGCGAAUGCUGACAUAAGUAACGAUAAAGCGGGUGAAAAGCCCGCUCGCCGGAAGACCAAGGGUUCCUGUCCAACGUUAAUCGGGGCAGGGUGAGUCGACCCCUAAGGCGAGGCCGAAAGGCGUAGUCGAUGGGAAACGGGUUAAUAUUCCCGUACUUGGUGUUACUGCGAAGGGGGGACGGAGAAGGCUAUGUUGGCCGGGCGACGGUUGU
rnacentral:rRNA from 1 species